rnacentral:rRNA from 1 species
GAUGAACGCUGGCGGCGUGCCUAAUACAUGCAAGUCGAGCGAACAGACGAGGAGCUUGCUCCUCUGACGUUAGCGGCGGACGGGUGAGUAACACGUGGAUAACCUACCUAUAAGACUGGGAUAACUUCGGGAAACCGGAGCUAAUACCGGAUAAUAUAUUGAACCGCAUGGUCCAAUAGUGAAAGACGGUUUUGCUGUCACUUAUAGAUGGAUCCGCGCCGCAUUAGCUAGUUGGUAAGGUAACGGCUUACCAAGGCAACGAUGCGUAGCCGACCUGAGAGGGUGAUCGGCCACACUGGAACUGAGACACGGUCCAGACUCCUACGGGAGGCAGCAGUAGGGAAUCUUCCGCAAUGGGCGAAAGCCUGACGGAGCAACGCCGCAUGAGUGAUGAAGGUCUUCGGAUCGUAAAACUCUGUUAUUAGGGAAGAACAAAUGUGUAAGUAACUAUGCACGUCUUGACGGUACCUAAUCAGAAAGCCACGGCUAACUACGUG